AUUGAACGCUGGCGGCAGGCCUAACACAUGCAAGUCGAACGGUAACAGGAAACAGCUUGCUGUUUCGCUGACGAGUGGCGGACGGGUGAGUAAUGUCUGGGAAACUGCCUGAUGGAGGGGGAUAACUACUGGAAACGGUAGCUAAUACCGCAUAACGUCGCAAGACCAAAGAGGGGGACCUUCGGGCCUCUUGCCAUCGGAUGUGCCCAGGUGGGAUUAGCUAGUAGGUGGGGUAACGGCUCACCUAGGCGGCGAUCCCUAGCUGGUCUGAGAGGAUGACCAGCCACACCGGAACUGAGACACGGUCCAGACUCCUACGGGAGGCAGCAGUGGGGAAUAUUGCACAAUGGGCGCAAGCCUGAUGCAGCCAUGUCGCGUGUAUGAAGAAGGCCUUCGGGUUGUAAAGUACUUUCAGCGGGGAGGAAGGGAGUAAAGUUAAUACCUUUGCUCAUUGACGUUACCCGCAGAAGAAGCACCGGCUAACUCCGUGCCAGCCGCCGCCGUAA
rnacentral:rRNA from 1 species